AUUGAACGCUGGCGGCAUGCUUUACACAUGCAAGUCGAACGGUAACAGGGAGCUUGCUCCGCUGACGAGUGGCGAACGGGUGAGUAAUGCGUCGGAACGUGCCGAGUAGUGGGGGAUAACGCAGCGAAAGUUGUGCUAAUACCGCAUACGUACUGAGGUAGAAAGUGGGGGACCUUCGGGCCUCACGCUAUUCGAGCGGCCGACGUCGGAUUAGCUAGUAGGUGAGGUAAAGGCUCACCUAGGCGACGAUCAGUAGCGGGUCUGAGAGGAUGAUCCGCCACACUGGGACUGAGACACGGCCCAGACUCCUACGGGGGGCAGCAGUGGGGAAUUUUGGACAAGGGGCGAAAGCCUGAUCCAGCCAUGCCGCGUGUCUGAAGAAGGCCUUCGGGUUGUAAAGGACUUUUGUCGGGGAGGAAAUCCCCAGCGCUAAUACCGCUGGGGGAUGACAGUACCUGAAGAAUAAGCACCGGCUAACUACGUGCCAGCCGCCGCCGUAACAC
rnacentral:rRNA from 1 species